rnacentral:rRNA from 1 species
UAUCUAAACGGAGAAAUUCAAUACUGUUCCAUCAAACGAACAGUGUGCACUUUUCUCUUAGUAAGACGUUGUGAUCCAUUAGGAAUCGAUUAUCUUUUGAAUAAUCAAUAGGCUACCAAUAGACUGGUAUUGAAGUUCACUCUGGCAAAUAACACGAUCGUUUAUGGUUUUGUAUAUUGUCUUGUGAGCAUAUCAUGUACUGAUGUAGCUGCCUGAUGGAUUUUAAAGGUCAUAUCAUUGAUGCUUGCAUCACCCAUUGGGAUUUAUAGAUAUGUACCCGAUCAACAACGGUUUCAUUUGGGAUACCUUUGGGACCCGUCUUGAAACACGGACCAAGGAGUCUAUCUAGUAUGCGAGUAAAUGGGCCAUUAUUUUGUAUGAAACCUAUUUGCGUAAAUAACUUGACUGUUUUUAA